rnacentral:rRNA from 1 species
GUCAUCUGUCUGAACUGUUUAUAACAAAUGUUAAAACUUUCAACAACGGAUCUCUUGGUUCUCGCAUCGAUGAAGAACGCAGCGAAAUGCGAUAAGUAGUGUGAAUUGCAGAAUUCAGUGAAUCAUCGAAUCUUUGAACGCACAUUGCGCCUCCUGGUAUUCCGGGAGGCAUGCC